ACGUAGGUGGCAAACGUUGUCCGGAUUUAUUGGGCGUAAAGCGAGCGCAGGCGGUUCCUUAAGUCUUAUGUGAAAGCCCACGGAAAAACCGUGGAAGAACAUUGGAAACUGGGGAACUUGAGUGCAGAAGAGGAGAGUGGAAAUACAUGUGUAGCGGUGAAAUGCGUAGAUAUAUGGAGGAACACCAGUGGCGAAGGCGACUCUCUGGUAUGUAACUGAGGCUGUGGCUCGUAUGCGUGGGGAGCAAACAG
rnacentral:rRNA from 1 species